rnacentral:rRNA from 1 species
UACAGAGGGUGCAAGCGUUGUUCGGAAUUAUUGGGCGUAAAGCGCGCGCAGGCGGUUUCUUAAGUCUGAUGUGAAAGCCCACGGCUCAACCGUGGAGGGUCAUUGGAAACUGGGGAACUUGAGUGCAGAAGAGAAAAGCGGAAUUCCACGUGUAGCGGUGAAAUGCGUAGAGAUGUGGAGGAACACCAGUGGCGAAGGCGGCUUUUUUGGUCUGUAACUGACGCUGAGGCGCGAAAGCGUGGGGAGCAAAC